AUUAUAUAACGAAUAUGCUUGAACAACCGAAGUUUAAAAAGAAGCACACUAUUUAUAGUGUAUAUCAAAGUGGAUAGAAAUAUUGAAAAAGAGUGCGUGUACUACACAUGUAUGAUUACUUAUAAUAUGUAAGGUGACACAAUAAAAUGCGCAUAUAAAUGCACCAUAUAUGCAAGUGCGAUUUAUUUAAGUUAUCUUAGAGAUCUAGAACUCAGUUUGAUUCAAUAUUGUCUAUAAUGCUAAAACGCGGACUUUUGGUAGAUCGCAAGAUCGGCGACUGUGUUCAGGUUUCGGCAUUUAUAAAACACACUAGAUUUACCGCUUUUUGGUAGAUAAAAACUCUGGUUCAGUACCUUCUUUAUGGAAUUCCCAGAAAAAUCAUGCAAAAACCGUUAUCCGGGACUUUCGGCCGUACUACACGGGGGUGGCCGGUAAAUCUAGUACUGCCGACUCCCGAUGGUCCCGGAUUGCGAUGUUUUAUAGAUAAUAUUAAAAAACCGGCGAACAGAAUUACUUCAUACUUCUCGGGAGCAAUCUUUAUGUCCAAAGUGAUUCACACAAUUAAAAAAAACCCAAUGAUAAUAAGUAUAAAUUCUUAAACUUGAAAUGUCACCUACUCAAAAGCGGUAAAUCUAGUACAAACUCCGUACAGCGUCAAAUUCUCCGGGACUACUUUCCCCUACGAAUAAUGAUAUUGGAGUUGUAGCGUAACGGAUUAUAGUCUCAAUAUACCUGGCGAAUUGCCAAUACGAAGCUAAAGUGACCAGGUUUAAAAUGUAAAUAUGUUAAAAGAGUAUUUUAUAGAAUUUAAAUAGUUUCAUUGUUAUUGAUAUCUGUAUUAAUAUAGGAAAGUGACCGUUCUACAUUGAUCCAGUGCCUUUUUAUGGGAUUCAAAACUGUGACUGUGACUGUGAGAUGUAUGAGAGUUUGACUUCUAGGCGGGCAAUUCUACUUUCACUUUAAACGGAUGUAAAAUAGCUCGAAAAGGAAUCAAGGACCCUAUUGCAAAUUUGGCCUUGUUGGAAAGGAUGGCAGGUGCCUGACUGUAUCUCGACCCAUUUCCAGGCUAGCAUCAGAUGUCAUGAUGGACCUUUAAAAUCUUUCACAUGUGUACUUUCAAGAACCAUAUACUUUAUUUUUGAAAAUUGGUUGCCAUGGUAAUAAAAUCUGAAAAUUAAAA